rnacentral:rRNA from 1 species
UAGCGGAGGGUGCAAACGUUGCUCGGAAUUUAUUGGGCGUAAAAGCGCGCGUAGGCGGUUACUCAAGUCGGAUGUGAAAGCCCUCGGCUUAACUGAGGAAGUGCACCCGAAACUGAGUAGCUAGAGUACUAAAGAGGGUCGCGGAAUUCCCGGUGUAGCGGUGAAAUGCGCAGAUAUCAGGAGGAACACCGGUGGCGAAGGCGGGUCUCUGGGCAGUAACUGACGCUGAGGAGCGAAAGCGUGGGGAGCGAACAGG